GGAGUUAGCCGGUUCUUCUUCUGUGAGUGAUGUCCUUCCUGCCGGCUAUUAACCCGCAGGCCUUCUUCCUCACUGAAAGUGCUUUACAACCCGAAGGCCUUCUUCACACACGCGGCAUGGCUGGAUCAGGGUUGCCCCCAUUGUCCAAUAUUCCCCACUGCUGCCUCCCGUAGGAGUCUGGGCCGUGUCUCAGUCCCAGUGUGGCUGAUCAUCCUCUCAGACCAGCUACGGAUCGUCGCCUUGGUGAGCCGUUACCUCACCAACCAGCUAAUCCGACAUAGGCUCAUCCGAUAGCGCGAGGCCCGAAGGUCCCCCGCUUUCCCCCGUAGGGCGUAUGCGGUAUUAGCCUGGGUUUCCCCCAGGUUAUCCCCCACUACCGGGCAGAUUCCUAUGCAUUACUCACCCGUCCGCCGCUCGCCACCAGGGAGCAAGCUCCCCGUGCUGCCGCUCGACUUGCAUGUGUUAGGCCUGCCGCCAGCGUUCAAUCUGAGCCAUAAUCAAACUCUGA
rnacentral:rRNA from 1 species